GUUUUAUCAGCCAAAUUCGCAAAAAAAAAUUGGGUCGUUCUAAGCAAAUUCACAAUAAUCAAAGCAAAUAUGAUUACACUAGGUGAGAUUGAUGGUUAUAAUUGUGAUUCUUUAAAAAUUAAAGCAAAAAUAACAGUCACAGGAAAGAGGGUUACAAUUGUCACUCUUUAAAAAUUGGAUCUUGCACUUUGUUAAAAUAUUUCUCAAUAUAAAACAAUACGCUUAGGUGUAUGUGUAGUUUGAUUUGCAAGAGCAAAGAGUAUACUUGAAGAAAUAACACACAAAAAUUAUGAUGGUUAUUUAAUGUGGGCUAGUUUUUUGUUGUACAAGGCUAAAACAGAUAAGAAAAUUUCUGCCACAUCAUUUUGGAGGAGAUUUUUGAGGUUCAUUAGAGGAGACUCAUGUCGAAGAAAUUCAACAUCAGAAGAGGCACGAAGCUUUGCAAAAAAAUCUGCACAUUGAUUCUCUUCCCUAAGGGUGUGAUUAACCAUAACAUUUCCCUGCUCCAAUAACACUUUUAUAUCUUGGAUUAAAACAGAAUAAGCAUGAAACCUCAUUGGGGGGACCAUUGAGGAUGUUGAUACAAUGUAAAGCAUCAGAGUAGCAAACAAAAUCAAGAAUACCCAUAUAUUUGGCCAACAAGAGACCUUUAUAGAUAGCAUAGAGCUCAUCAUACAAGAUCAGAUGAAUUUUGAAUGUAUCCAGAAAAGCCUAACAAGAAAAAACCUGCAUAGUUUCUUAAAAUUCCUCCAUAGCCAGCUCUUACUGGAGAUCCAAGACAACUUCCAUCAACAUUAAGGUUGACACAAGAAUGAUUAUUGUUGGUCCACUUGAUGAAUUGUCUUCAUAGAUAGUAUUAGAGAUGGAAGUAUAACAAGCUUUGAGGGUAUCAACCAUGCCUUGAAUGUUGAAGGAUAAUUUAGCAUUUGACCAAUUCUCAUUGCCUAAGCACAUCAUGUUUCGAUUCCUCCAAGCCCACCAUAAUAUGGGCUAGUAUAGUCUUCGCAACUGUGAGAUUUCACUAUAGUAUUUAGAUAGAUGUUUUUUCUAUCAUGUGCAAUAGACAAUAAUUACAUCAAAGUUUCACCGGAAAUGAUACUGACAGCAAAACGGUUAACCAAUACCCAAACAACAAAAGGGGUUAUGGCACCAAUCAUGAAAAUUAUAAUAAAAUGUAACAGAAUAAGCUUUAGACAUGAG
rnacentral:lncRNA from 1 species